CAUGGACUGGUGGGGUCCCUCGGCCUGGCUUGCAGGGAUCGGGCUGAAACCGGCAGCCUGACAUCCCCCAAGGGGUCCUGGAUUGCAGAGGGUGCAGGCAAGGCUGAGGGACCCCACUGGUGCAUG
rnacentral:pre_miRNA from 1 species